rnacentral:rRNA from 1 species
UACGGAGGGUGCGAGCGUUGUCCGGAAUCACUGGGCUUAAAGCGCGUGUAGGCGGGACGGCACGUCGGUCGCUGAAAGCCCCCGGCUCAACCGGGGAACGGGCGCCGAUACGACCGUCCUGGAGGGACGUAGGGGGACCUGGAACAUCCGGUGGAGCGGUGAAAUGCAUUGAGAUCGGAAAGAACACCAACGGCGAAAGCACUCUGCUGGGCCGACACUGACACUGAGAGACGAAAGCUAGGGGGGCAAAUGGG